UGGGGAAUAUUGGACAAUGGGCGAAAGCCUGAUCCAGCAAUGCCGCGUGAGUGAUGAAGGCCUUAGGGUUGUAAAGCUCUUUUUACCAGGGAUGAUAAUGACAGUACCUGGAGAAUAAGCUCCGGCUAACUCCGUGCCAGCAGCCGCGGUAAUACGGAGGGAGCUAGCGUUGUUCGGAAUUACUGGGCGUAAAGAGUACGUAGGCGGUGAUUCAAGUCAGAGGUGAAAGCCUGGAGCUCAACUCCAGAACUGCCUUUGAAACUAGGUCGCUAGAAUCACGGAGAGGUGAGUGGAAUUCCGAGUGUAGAGGUGAAAUUCGUAGAUAUUCGGAAGAACACCAGUGGCGAAGGCGGCUCACUGGACGUGUAUUGACGCUGAGGUACGAAAGCGUGGGGAGCAAACAGGAUUAGAUACCCGAGUAGUCCCUGAGCGGGCUGGCAAGGCGCAU
rnacentral:rRNA from 1 species